rnacentral:rRNA from 1 species
UACGAAGGGGGCUAGCGUUGUUCGGAAUCACUGGGCGUAAAGGGCGCGUAGGCGGCUUUAUAAGUCGGGGGUGAAAGCCUGUGGCUCAACCACAGAAUUGCCUUCGAUACUGUAGAGCUUGAGACCGGAAGAGGUAAGUGGAACUGCGAGUGUAGAGGUGAAAAUUCGUAGAUAUUCGCAAGAACACCAGUGGCGAAGGCGGCUUACUGGUCCGGUUCUGACGCUGAGGCGCG